GCAUCGAUGAAGAACGCAGCGAAAUGCGAUACUUGGUGUGAAUUGCAGAAUCCCGUGAACCAUCGAGUCUUUGAACGCAAGUUGCGCCCCAAGCCAUUAGGCUGAGGGCACGUCUGCCUGGGUGUCACG
rnacentral:rRNA from 1 species